GGAACGGUGUCCGAGUGGUUGAAGGAGCACGCCUGGAAAGCGUGUAUAGGGGCAACCCUAUCGAGGGUUCGAAUCCCUCUCGUUCCG
rnacentral:tRNA from 1 species